AGGCUUUUUGCAAAUGAUCAGAACAAAAUCAAAUGUGACCCACCAAUGCAACAGGAGAUUGACAUGUACAUCUCUAAAGGUGAAGCCACAUUUAGUGUUCAGUUGCUGACGGACUCUUCCGACCAUUGGAAGUCAGCAACUCUAGUUUUGCAACGAUCACGCUAUCAAAUCAAGAGCAUAAGUGAGGAAGUUGAGCUGAUUGCAGAGAAAUUUUCAAAGAAUUUAUCAAUCAAAAUUCCUUCUGGAGUCUCAACACAAUUUGUUUUAACAUGUUCUAGUGGAUCUUCUCAUCCUCUCAAUACAUAUGAUGUUAGGACACGUGAUACUCUUGUGUUGACAAUGAGAAUGUUCCAAAGCAAGGCAUUGGAUGAGAAGAGGAAGGGUAGAGCAUGAAACCACAGGUUUCUCUGAUACUCGGGUAGUGUUUAUAGUAAAAAAAUUCAUUCAUGUUAGAAGAUAAUAAGACAAUAAAUCCGGAGG
rnacentral:misc_RNA from 1 species